GAUGAACGCUGGCGGCGUGCCUAAUACAUGCAAGUCGAGCGAACAGACGAGGAGCUUGCUCCUCUGACGUUAGCGGCGGACGGGUGAGUAACACGUGGAUAACCUACCUAUAAGACUGGGAUAACUUCGGGAAACCGGAGCUAAUACCGGAUAAUAUAUUGAACCGCAUGGUUCAAUAGUGAAAGACGGUUUUGCUGUCACUUAUAGAUGGAUCCGCGCCGCAUUAGCUAGUUGGUAAGGUAACGGCUUACCAAGGCAACGAUGCGUAGCCGACCUGAGAGGGUGAUAGGCCACACUGGAACUGAGCCACGGUCCAGACUCCUACGGGAGGCAGCAGUAGGGAAUCUUCCGCAAAGGGCGAAAGCCUGACGGAGCAACGCCGCGUGAGUGAUGAAGGUCUUCGGAUCGUAAAACUCUGUUAUUAGGGAAGAACAAAUGUGUAAGUAACUAUGCACGUCUUGACGGUACCUAAUCAGAAAGCCACGGCUAACUACGUG
rnacentral:rRNA from 1 species